GCACAAACUAGAAAAACAGAUCUAGAAAAGAAUGAUCUGCAAAUAUGACUACAAUCACAGUAAGAUUAGUCCGCUCCUUUGAGUAUAGAAAUAUGAAAACCAUUGUCUUACAAAACGUUGAUUUGGAUAUAUCUGUUGAGGAGUUGAAAGUUUUAGUCAGUGCAGGUAAAGUUACUUUUUUACAAAUAAACUUCGGUGAUGUAUAAUUCAGUUAAUAUAGAUACACAAUAUGACGUCAUAAUGUGGAAGAACAAAAAAUCUUAUCUAUUUGUUUUAUAUAAUAAAAAGAAAACCCCCAAAUUAAACAGAUAAAUAGCAUACUUUUUAUCCACCCAAACAUUUGGAAAUUGGAAAAAGUAGAAAUUUUACAAAUACCACACGUACAUGAUCUAUACAAAUAGAGCGUCGACCAAUAGGUUUUGGCACGCUUUAGCUUAACAGCAUUUGUGCCGGCCGUUAAGGGGGAGGGGGUCGUAUGCCGUUAAAAUUACUUUUCCGUGAUGAAAACUUGCCUUAUAUGUAUUUUCGUGUUGAGAUUCUUUGCUUAUAACAGGCGAAAAUUGACCAAUUCCUUUCAUAUCCCAUCAAAUAUUAUGUUUUGGGGAUUGGUGGGGCUUACACGAGCGCCGAAGGCAUGAGACUGCUUGGGGUGUCUGUGGCCUCUGCAAUGGCCGCAAAUGCUUCUAAAUUAUAUUUAAUGGUUAUCGGAAAAUAGUAGGUAUUUUUUUGUGUCUAAGUUAUUCAAUUUGGGCCAAACAUUUGUACUGUUCACACAACUAAAAUAUAUCCGAAAUUAAGAAACUAACUACGGAAAAAUUAUUGGUUAGGCUAAAGCCCAGCGAGCCACCCUGCUUUGCGGUCCCUGUAUUUUAUACUCCCCGUUCACAAUGCG